rnacentral:hammerhead_ribozyme from 1 species
AUCCUGCUAAUGAGUCACAACUAAGACGAAAUGCGCGUCCUGGAU